ACCAUUUGGCUUUGCAAUUAAAAACAGGUUUGGCUUCCCUCAGCAUCAGUAAGACAACGUCAAAGCAACAUUCAUCCCGAAAAUUUUCCCCUGUGAAUUCAAAUGAACUUUAUGUAUCUGAAGUCUGGUAAAAGAGAAGAAAGAAUAGAGGGGAUUAUUAGGUCUUUAAAUCUGGAGAAGUUGCCUUCCCAAACUUACCGAAAAUCAUAUUUAUGAGGAAGCCUUCUUUACGGAGACAAUGAAACUAAAGCACCUGCGCACCGGAACCACAUCACUUACACAGCUUACAUAAUGCUGGACGGGAGCAAGCAGGCAAGUCCUCCCUUUCUCUCCCUGUGGUUUAGAGCCUGUUUGUAUUUUGGGUCACACAUGUCCUGUGAAAACAUGGCUGAAAACACAGACUUACCACACAGGUGUGCCUCGGAAGUCGCUAGUAAAAAUGAUUUUAAAACUUUCAGAAACCGCCAAGCUCUGAGGAAAUGCUUAUUAAAGACUAAUAAAAUUGCGAAAAUUGAAGGAAAAACA